AUACGGAGGAUCCAAGCGUUAUCCGGAUUUAUUGGGUUUAAAGGGUGCGCAGGCGGAAGAUUAAGUCGGCGGUGAAAUUUUGCAGCUCAACUGUAAAAGUGCCAUCGAUACUGGUUUUCUUGAGUGUGGAUGAAGUAGGCGGAAUUUGUGGGGUAGCGGUGAAAUGCAUAGAUAUCACGAGGAACUCCGUUUGCGCAGGCAGCUUACUAAACUACUACUGACGCUCAGGCACGAAGGCGUGGGGAUCAAACAGGAUUAGAUACCCUGGUAGUCCACGCAGUAAACGAUGAUUACUAGCUGUUUGCGAUACAAUGUAAGCGGCUAAGCGAAAGCAUUAAGUAAUCCACCUGGGGAGUACGUUCGCAAGAAUGAAACUCAAAUUAAUUGACGGGG
rnacentral:rRNA from 1 species